AUCCCUAAUUGUAACAAGGUUCACUCACCACUCUGGUGCCUCCUGCUGGUUGUCUUGGGAAUUAGCUUUUCAUGGUAGUGCGCCCUCUUUGGGUGGUGCCUCGCCGCCAUCACUCCUGCUCUAGGACCCACGUCUCUCCAAGGACCAUGGCAUCCUUUUCAGUGACACAGCCCUCCAGCCGUGCCACACACAGUGCUCCCCACCUCUGGGAGACCUGCAAUCUGCUGGUCAGCCACUUCCCUUAGUGGCUAUGGCAGUGUAUUGUCUGGCCACUUCCCUGUGGCCCCAGCAUCCUCCUUGCCCUUGCCUCAACCCGCAAACCCCAGCAGCCAGCCAGCCAGGAGCUGCCUCUCACUCCCCUGGUCCCUGCUAGGAGCACCGCUCUAUCUAGGGUGCUAGCAGUUCUCUCAGCCCUCCAGAGACACAGCCCUUCCUCCCUGGGCUCCCAGCAGUGAACUGCCUUCCUCUGCCCUGCAGGUCUCCUUUUAUAUGGGCCUACUUGGCCUUGAUUGGCUGCUCCCAUCAGCCUUUUUCUGAUUGGCUGCCUCCUGAGCAGCCUGCCUAGGGCUCUAUUAACCCCUUAGAGCCCAGUGUGGAGCAGGUGCCCCGUUACACUAAUACUUAGGCCUGGUCUACAACUCACUGUUACAAAUGUGCACCUUAGCUACUGGAACAACUUACCCAGGGACAUGGUGGAUUCUCCAUCACAUGAAGUCUUUAAAUCAAGAUUGGAUGUUUUUUUCUGGAAGAUCUGCUAUAGCUCAGACAGAAGUUCUGUGCCUGAUGCAGGAAUUACUGGGGGGAAAGGGACACUCAGGAGAGAAAUCGGACCUGCAGCACCACCGCAGUGCCAGGGCUUAUUCCACCAGAGCUGCUCAUGUACACGAGCCCUUAGACGUGCUCUGCCGGUGUGGAAAAUCCAGAAGAGUGACUGGGAAUCUGUAAGCGAGUGGCAAAGUCCCCUGUCAUAGGAGCCUCCUGACAACCAGCUUCCACGGGCCUCCCUGCUGAGAACAGACCCCAUAGGUCCCAGAACCAAUGGGAUUAUGGUUAGUCGGCGGAAUAAUGUUUGUUUGGUGAAUUAGUGAUUCAAGAUACUGCCACCAACUGCUUCUCCCUCCCUCCCUUCCUUCUCUGGAUGUUAACAUCUUAUUAGCACAAUAAAGUGA